AGUCAACCUACCCUAAAGAUAGGCAUAACCACGAGAAAUUGAGGUGAAUUCCUAAUAGCUCACCCAUACUGGAAUGUAGGGUGAGUUAAAAAGAGCAUGAAUUGGAGUGAAUUCUGCUUUAGGAUGGGACUGCGGCUGAUUAGGCUGUUGGUGGGGUAACGGCCCACCAAACCAAUAAUCAGUACGGGCUAUGAGAGUAGGAGCCCGGAGAUGGGAACUGAGACAAGGUCCCAAGCCCUACGGGGUGCAGCAGGCGCGAAACUUCCGCAAUGCGCGAAAGCGUGACGGGGGCAGUCCGAGUGAUUCUCUUAGGAGAGUCUUUUGCUUAGUUCGAAUAACUAGGCGAAUAAGUGGUGGGUAAAUCCUGUGCCAG
rnacentral:rRNA from 1 species